UGACCAUAAACGAUGUCAACUAAGGAUUGGAUAAGACAAUAAUGAAGCACGAUUUCAAAUGUCCCGAGGCAACAGCCAAAGGACUCUGAAAUAUCUUCAAUUCUUCCCUUAUUCAGGACUUGAUGAGAAAUCAUUAAGUGAAUGGACUUCAGGGGGAGUAUGGUCACAAGGCUGAAACUUAAAGGAAUUGACGGAAGGGCACACCAGGAGUGGAGCCUGCGGCUUAAUUUGACUCAACACGG
rnacentral:rRNA from 1 species